rnacentral:rRNA from 1 species
CCUACGGGCGGCAGCAGUGGGGAAUAUUGGACAAUGGGGGCAACCCUGAUCCAGCCAUGCCGCGUGUGUGAAGAAGGCCCUCGGGUUGUAAAGCACUUUCAGUGAGGAAGAACGCCUGGUGGUUAAUACCCAUCAGGAAAGACAUCACUCACAGAAGAAGCACCGGCUAACUCCGUGCCAGCAGCCGCGGUAAUACGGAGGGUGCGAGCGUUAAUCGGAAUUACUGGGCGUAAAGCGCGCGUAGGUGGCUUGAUAAGCCGGUUGUGAAAGCCCCGGGCUCAACCUGGGAACGGCAUCCGGAACUGUCAAGCUAGAGUGCAGGAGAGGAAGGUAGAAUUCCCGGUGUAGCGGUGAAAUGCGUAGAGAUCGGGAGGAAUACCAGUGGCGAAGGCGGCCUUCUGGACUGACACUGACACUGAGGUGCGAACGCGUGGGUAGCAAACAGGAUUAGAUACCCGAGUAGUC